rnacentral:lncRNA from 1 species
CUUUAAUUCAAGGUUAAAAUAUUUUGAAGAAUUGACUACUAUUCUGUUUUAAAUCAUACAGAGGUAAUUGUGGGCGGCUCCCUGGAGGCCUCAGAGGACAUCUCUGCGAGCUGCCACUGGGCAGUCAGCAGCAGUGAAGAGGGACCUGGGAGGCUGAACGCAGAGAUAACGUUGUCCGCAGUGUUCUCCAACUCAGCUCAGGAGACACGGAACUGAGCUGAAAUUAGGCCGCCAAAUAAACGGAAGGAGUUAUGUUCUAUUUAUCAUCAUUUUCUCCCCUUAGUACAAGAUAUAAACUAUUUUGAAAAAAAU